GAUUAUUUCCUGAUGUGAUUUAAGCCUUUUAACAGACUUUUCAGUGUCCCACAUUUCGGACAUGACUGUCCCACAUUAGAAAAGCAAGAUUUG